rnacentral:rRNA from 1 species
AUACGGAGGGUGCAAGCGUUAAUCGGAAUUACUGGGCGUAAAGCGCGUGUAGGCGGCUUGGUAAGUCGGGUGUGAAAUCCCGGGGCUCAACCCCGGAACUGCACCCGAAACUAUAUGGCUAGAGUCCCGGAGGGGGUGGCGGAAUUUCCGGUGUAGAGGUGAAAUUCGUAGAUAUCGGAAGGAACACCAGUGGCGAAGGCGGCCACCUGGACGGUGACUGACGCUGAGAUGCGAAAGCGUGGGGAGCAAACAGGAUUAGAAACCCCAGUAGUCC